AGCAGCCGCGGUAAUUCCAGCUCCAAUAGCGUAUAUUAAAGUUGUUGCAGUUAAAAAGCUCGUAGUUGAAUUUCGGGGUCAGUAGGCUGGUCGUGCCACAGGUACGUACUGGUCUCACUGAUUCCUCCUUCCUGAAGAACCGUAAUGCCAUUAAUUUGGUGUUGCGGGAAACAGGACUGUUACUUUGAAAAAUUAGAGUGUUUAAAGCAGGCUAACGCUUGAAUACAUUAGCAUGGAAUAAUGAAAUAGGACGAUCGAUCCUAUUUUGUUGGUUUCUAGGAUUGACGUAAUGAUUAAUAGGGAUAGUUGGGGGCAUUAGUAUUCAAUUGUCAGAGGUGAAAUUCUUGGAUUUAUUGAAGACUAACUACUAGCGAAAGCAUUUGACCAAGGAUGUUUUUCAUUAAUCAAAGAACGAAAGUUAGGGGAUCGAAAGACGAUCAGAUACCGUCGUAAGUCUUAACCAUAAACUAUAGCCGACUAGGGAUCGAUGAUGUUAAAUUUUAUAAUGA
rnacentral:rRNA from 1 species